GAAACUAAAUAUGGAAUAAAAUACCUCUUAUUUUAUUAGAUAAAUAAAAUGUUUGUACAAGUACAAUUACAAAUUACAUGACCACGAGAUUUAGGAUAUCAACCCCAACACCCACUUGCUCAAUGUUUUUACAUUCAUACAAGGGUGGUUACGAUUCGAACGAUUUUGCUUAAAGAGGUACGCUUUCUCUCCAUUCUUUUAUAAUAAAUAAGAUAUUCAUUAACGUGGUUUAUUAAUUUUGUUAGAUAACAUCUCUGGUCUGCCUCCAUGUAUUCUUGGUGUUUUAACCUCUACUCACUCAGAACCUAAUCAAAAGGACCCAAAAUAAUUAUACAUUCCCACAUUUCAUUCCUAAUUAGUUUGAGUUGGGUGAAUGUGCUUGACCUGAAGAAGAAAAGCACCGAACGUUCUUAAGCAGAAAUCUUGGAAGAGUCUUUUUUGUGUCUUCAAGGGUCUUCUGCCUUCUAGGAGUGGAGUCUUGGAAGUCUUCUGCUUGUUGAUGAAUUCUCUGGACUCUCUGAAUAUAGAAAAUGCUUGUAUCUUCAAAGGACUUCAGUCUUCAGAAUGCUUGCAUCUUCAAAGGACUUCCCGUCUUCUGAUUAUAGAGAAUUCCCUAUAAGCUCUCUGGAGUAUAGAAUUGCUGACCCCUCCAAAUGAGGAGAACUUAUCAAUUUAUAGAGUUCACAGGUGGGCUUGGGUUUGGUUGAUCCAUAGGCCUGACCUUUAGGCUCAAUUAGUUGGACUUGGGCUUGGUUGGUCCAUGGGGUUGGCCUUUGAGCCCAAUUAAUCAGAUUUAGGCCUGAUUUGACAUUUGCAUCAAAUUCAGCCUAUUUUUGGACUUAGUUGGACUUUGAC